AUUAAUGGUUGUUGGAUGAUAAGGGAAAUUGGUUGAAUUCCGUGAGUUUAUUUUGCAUCAUGUUACUUUAAAGUACAUGUUUCUAUGGACAGCUUUAUGGGCUGUUAAAUGCAUAAUGUUCUCAACUGUCUUAUUUAACCUGCCAGGUUUAUUUAUAGUUUAGUAUUUCAUCUCGAAACUGACUUAUUUUAUUAGUUAUAAUAUAGUGUAUUGUUGAAAGUGAGUCAGCCACCUCCCUAAAGAUGGCGCCUAGUACAGAAGGAGGUUGGCCCUGCCAGUCUCGUGACCUAUCUACAGUCACGUUUGCUUCUAAAGUAACAUCACUUCCGCCCUUACCAUGCCCACACCUCCUGUCUUCCUUUCCCACACAUAUCAUGGAUGUCACCCCCCUCACUUCCUCCCUUGCCAUCAUUUCCUUCCCCGCCCCUAUCAUGGCUGCCUCCAUCAUGAGGCCUACCCCUAUUAUGCUCGUCCUAUUUAGAGACAUGUUGUUUUCCUUACACUCUACAUAUUAUACAGAAACAUUAUAAUUACUAAAACAAUCAUGCCAUUUGUUUUUCUGUAUCAGAAAUGUGUCCGGUAUAAUAAUAUUAAAAAAAAAAUAAUUGCUAAAAUGUCAUUUGCAACUGUGGUGUGACCUACAAAUGAGAUCUGUUGGACACGAAUAUAAGAGCAUAACAGCUGAUUAUCCAGAUGAAUAUUCAUUAAUGCCUGUGUCUUGCAACAAGGGAAAUAGCCAAAUAAUGCAAGUUAUUUUAAACAUUGUAUCUUUACUUAAUCGAAUCUUGCUAGUUACAGAUCGUAUGUUUACAGUAACAUCCUUUACGUUAAAUGAUGGUUUAGCAUUAGAAGGGUUUGUGACAUGUUUAAUUAAUCCAGACACUACUGGUUAUUCAUUUUAGUUACAGGGUGGUGUAAUUGUUAUGGUCUAAUUCAUAUAAAUGAUAGUACCUCAAUAGUUAAUGUUUUAUCCAAAGACAUACAGGAACUUUACUUCACUUACUAUUAAACAUUAUUUAUAAUGAUAGACAUGUUCAGACUGCAAAAAGCUAUGGCUAAUGACAUAGAAAGGGGUUAGAGUCAGUAACACAGCCCAUACAGAGUUGUCUCCUCCACAUGUCCCAUUAACCUCUUGGGUGCUGAUGUCCUAUCCCGCCUCCAAUCAUCCAUCACCCUCACUGCAGACGGCCAGGUUCAAUUAAAUACACCUUUGUCACGAAAAGACACUUCAGUUCUUUGUUCCCUUCCCAUUUUACUACAUCUCACAUCUCCUAU